GUGCUCACUUUGGCAGGACCUGCACUAAAGCUGAAACAAUACAGAGAGGAUUUGCAUGGUCCCUGUGCAAGGAUGGCACACAAAUUUGUGAAGAAUUCCAUGUUUUC